UACGUAGGGUGCGAGCGUUAAUCGGAAUUACUGGGCGUAAAGUGUGCGCAGGCGGCCGAGCAAGUCGAGUGUGAAAGCCCCGGGCUUAACUUGGGAAUUGCGCUCGAAGCUACUUGGCUGGAGUGUGGCAGAGGAAGGUGGAAUUCCAGGUGUAGCGGUGAAAUGCGUAGAGAUCUGGAGGAACACCGAUGGCGAAGGCAGCCUUCUGGGCCAACACUGACGCUCAUGCACGAAAGCGUGGGGAGCAAACAGG
rnacentral:rRNA from 1 species